rnacentral:rRNA from 1 species
CGAACGCUGGCGGCGUGCUUAACACAUGCAAGUCGAGCGAUGAAGUUUCUUCGGAAAUGGAUUAGCGGCGAACGGGUGAGGAACACGUGAAGAAUCUGCCCUCCACUUUGGGAUAACACCGGGAAACCGGUGCUAAUACCGAAUAUUGAAACAUAAGUGGCAUCACUGAGUUUUGAAAGAAUUUCGGUGGAGGAUGACUUCGCGGCCUAUCAGCUAGUUGGUGAGGUAAUGGCUCACCAAGGCAACGACGGGUAGCCGGCCUGAGAGGGCGACCGGCCACACUGGGACUGAGACACGGCCCAGACUCCUACGGGAGGCAGCAGUGGGGAAUAUUGGGCAAUGGAGGAAACUCUGACCCAGCGACGCCGCGUGCGGGAUGAAGGCCUUCGGUUGUAACCGCUUUCAGUAGGAAGAAGCGAAAGUGACGGUACCGUACAAAGAAGCACCGGCUAACUAUGUGCCAGCAG